rnacentral:lncRNA from 1 species
AGAACUAAUCACUGUAAAAACCCACAGAGUUCUACUCUUAGGAUCCAAAGUGGAUUGAAGAAGUCUCCAAUUGCCCUUAAGAAGCUCUGGGUGGGGAGCCUGAGUGGGAGCAGGAGAGGAACCAUUACCCCAGAGAAUUCAGCCUGGAGCCAAAGCAAGUGGGAAAAGGUCACCUCAUCCACCAUGUCUUUAGGCAGAACUGAUUCAGCACACACCAACAUAGAAGACUUUUAUUAAAGUUCCCAGCAUGGCGUGCCCUCUCUCUGCCUCUUUGCAUCCUACCCAUCCUUCACCACCUCGCCACUCCAUAAAGCCCUCUCUGAUCACACCAGUCUGCAGCGAUCUCGCCCUGCUCUGAACACAUAAGCGCUCAUUAUCUGCACCACUCAUUUUGCAAUUAAUCGUGUACUGCCUUGUGACAUCGCUUCUAGUGCUUUGUCUGACUGUUAUCCAACUUCUCACCUGCUGACGGAUGGAACCCUUGAUGACAAUAUGAGUGACUGGACAGCAGGAGCUACAGCUCCUACAUCUCUGUGUCCCUAACAUUACCUGGCAGAGGCCUCAACACCAACAUGGAAGACAGCUAGUAACCGCCAAGAUUGAGUUGGCUUGGAAGGAGAUGAACACAGACCAAGGAGCCAGAAUGUAUACUUCAAUUCUACCUCCUCUGAUAAAACUUAUCCCAGGCGUCCGGCUCCCACCUGAGAUUGCAGGAAUCUUCAAGCCUUAACAUAUCUACUGGGCCUCAAGAUGCAGCAGGCCCUCAGAGAGCCAUCGCAACCAUCACAACACUCCUGGAGAGCCCCAGGGAACGUACAUAUCUUCAUUCCACCUACGUUCUUAUGAAGUAGCUUGUCUUCUCCUUCAUUUAAAAAAUGAAGAAACUCUCCACUCUCACUGCUUCAUUUGACUACCCUUUAAAAAAAAAAGGAGAAACUGAGACCUAUAAAUUUUAUCAAAACCCUGAGCCUUGAAAAAAUAUAUAUAUAAGA